CACCCUGCCGUGAUCCCGGGAGUCAAAUGGACUCAGCACCCACACGACUAGCCGAUGCGGAGCCCUUCCCCGGGACGCGCGGCAGUCCCCGCGUAUUUGUGAGCUGAAGCGGUCCGCGUCUCCUGAUGCGCUGUCCUGGCCGCCAGCCGGCUGGCCGCCGUCAUAGGGGCCGAGGCCUGCCCGCUGUCCGCGCGACGAACGUGGGAGAGGGCCGGGCUUCGUCCGCACCCGGGCAGUCCCCCACCCCCAUCCGCUCAGCCGCUCGCAUGCGCUCACUAACCGCCGGGCCCGCCGCUCCUUAGGAGACCCUAACCGAGGAGCUGGAGUCGCUCCAGGAGCGGCUCGGUAGCGACCUUCUCGACUGUAGCCACUUCGGCGAGGGUUUGUCUCUGGAGCUGGACGGGUUGCGGCUGCAGAUCCGCCAGCUGGACCAGACCCGGCAGCGACUGCAGAGCCACCUGGGGCCGGCCGACGAAGGCGCCACCAUCGAGGUGGCGCGCGAGGAGCUGGAGCUGCUGCACCGCGACCGUGAGGAGCAGAGUGAGCAGAUCCAGCAGCUGGGCGGGCUGGUGCGCGUGCUGUGCCAGUACUACCAGACGGCCGAGCGGCUGUACCGGCCGGCGCCGCCGCCCGGCCGCAGCGCUGACCCGGAGGCCGAGGCAACCGACCGCAUGG